CUAGUACUCCCUCCGUUCCAAAUUACUUGCCGUAGAAAUGGAUGUAUCUAGAACUAAAAUACAUCUAGAUACAUCCAUUUCUGCGACGAGUAAUUCGGAACGGAGGGAGUACUAA
rnacentral:pre_miRNA from 1 species